GAUCCUGGCUCGGGAUGAACGCUGGCGGCGUGCUUAACACAUGCAAGUCGAGCGAAGCACUUAGGAAAGAUUCUUCGGAUGAUUUCCUAUUUGACUGAGCGGCGGACGGGUGAGUAACGCGUGGGUAACCUGCCUCAUACAGGGGGAUAACAGUUAGAAAUGACUGCUAAUACCGCAUAAGACCACAGCACUGCAUGGUGCAGGGGUAAAAACUCCGGUGGUAUGAGAUGGACCCGNGU
rnacentral:rRNA from 1 species